GGGUAGUUGAGUAGGUAAAGCGCUUAAAGCUAUUCACUUGGUACCGAAGGUCGAUGGUUUGAUUCCAUCCAGGAGCA